rnacentral:lncRNA from 1 species
CACGGUGCCUAGAAUAUAGGAGAACUUCUGUGAAUGCUUUCCUGAUUGAAUUGAAUUGAAAAUAAACUGAGGUCAUCAAAGGUCACAAGCUUACCUUGGACUGGAGUGAUUUCUUCACAAUAAUUUGCACCCAUGAUCCAAAAGACUAUGUAUAAGUCAAAUUUAGGCAUUGAGGAAACCAAAGUAGCAAUUCAUUGUCUUUUUUUUUAGAUAUGCUAGACCUGUCCUUAUUUUUUUUUUCUUUCCUAGUAUAUCUACAACAUUUCCCUACCCUAAUCUUUAGGGAAUGACACAGAUUCCUUCAUUAGAAUUCUAACUUUAAUUUGAAAAAGAAAACUAAUCAUCUGGGGAAGCAGUUGCAUUUAUUUUCCUUUCAAAUUUUAAAUAAUACCAGUAAGAGUUCCUAGAACAAGACAAGACAUCUCAAACCUACAAGGAAUCAAAGAGAGACGCUUAUACCACCUUUAUUUAAACAUUAUGCUGGUGUUAUUCAAAGAUGGCAGACAAGUUGGACAUUACCUGACCAUUCCAUACGGAUUUUACCCCUUUCAUUCUAACUGCUCCUCAAUCUGAGAGAAUCCCACAGCCACAAAUAUGUGCUGUUAAAUAUCAACAAGAGGGAAAUAGUUAAAAAGGGACUUCUGAGUUCAUCGCUUUUCUUCAAGUAUUUAUGAACAAGAAAUUAGAAAGAAAUUCACAGCAGAAGUGCAUUUAGAUAAGGCUAAGAGCAGCAGAAAGCCAGAUGACACAUUCUGGAAUGGGAGCAAUCAAGGUUCUAUUCAAUCCUUUCCCUCUACCCUGUGCAUCAGAAUAUUCUCCCCUUUGAAACUUCUGCAUAGUUGCACAGGUGUAUUGAAUUCACGCUGAUCGACCAAGGGAAAAAAAGAAGGCAAAAAAUUGUUCAUCUGUCAUAACAUCCAGAGAUUUCAGCAAAUUCUUUAAGAUGCAAGGAUUAAAAAUAAUCUACUAAAGAUUAUCUUCAACUAACUGGACAAUGAUGAUGCUUUUCAGAUGCAAAUAAUCUGUUGAUUUAACUACAAACUAUCUGUUGAGAAAAAAAAUUAUGCCUAGCUUUGUGUCAGGUAAUGGGAAGGCAUAUAUCUCAGCCAGAAAUCAGCAAACUUUUUGUAAAGGGGUAGGUAGUAAAUAUUACAGGCUUUGGAAGAUGCUCAGUCUCUAUAAAACUACUCAGCUCCUUGUGAAACAACCAUGGAUACUGCAUAAAUAAAUGGCAUGUCUGUGUUCCAAUAAAACUUUAUUAAGAAAACAGGCAGUCUGCAGCCAUAUGUCAGCCUGGGCUAGACUAUGAGUUCUUUGCUUACAGUUAUUGUACCUUUUUCAGUAACCAUUGCAUCUCCAGUGUCUAGCUUACUGUCUAAUAGUAGAUGCUAAAUA